CAGAACAUAUAUACAGCCUCGAGCUAAGGAAACCUGUGCUCUGCAAAUCAGGAUUCUUGUGAAACUACGUUUUCAGCAAAUUGUAGACACAGCACUGGCUGGCUCCGAAUAGAAGUUGGAAACUUGUGAAAGGCACACACAGUUGAAGAAAGCAGCCUCUGGACUUAGAAAGACUAUUCCAAGCUACAGCAUUCCUUGUCGCGGGUUCAGAGAAUCUUCAUGUAUUCCCUGAACACUGAACAGAAAGCUGACCAAGAGUGAAAAGGCUAAGUGCGAUGAAAAAGAUAUAAAUAAAUAACACGAGAAUGAAGAAGAAAAAGAGGACUUUCAGUCGGAAUUACCAGAAUACUUCAUAAAUAAGGAGACCUAUGAUCAGUUUCACACCAGAUAAAUCAGAUGUGGAUGAAUGAGCACAAAAGUAUCUUGGAGAAGGGAGCAGAGUUGGGAGCGUGAGCAAAGUAAUGUUAAUCACAGAGCGGUGAUCGUGUCAGUCUUAUCACUGGGUGAAGACACUUAAACUAGAACCAGGCUUCCAGGAACACUUCACUACAUAGUCAUUGAAUGAGGAGCAUUAAAUACUAUGCAGAUCCGUUGCACUCUAGGAGGUGUGAAAGAAAAUGGCAGGUGACUGCACCAGAAACAUUAUCUGAAAGCGGAAGACUGAACACCUUCAGUGUCACAUGAAGGACGGUGAACUUUAUUCAACAGGCAAUAGAGACUUGGAAGCUUGUGAGAAGUCUUGUAAACAGAACUAUGCUUUAAAAAAUAAACUGAUUACCACAGAUAAGAUGAAUUAUAGUUUGAAGAAAAAGUUGAGCAUCUAGAGAAGAAUCCCAGUGAAAUGAAAUGAGUGUAAGCCAAAGUCAACAGGAUCUACGUGGAGAAGAGAAAAUGAAUACAAGAGAUGUAACAGAGGUGGAAAAGUGAAAAUCCAGUAGAAACCUAUAUCAGCCUGAUUCAACUCAUUCACAUUCAACUGUUACCUCUGAAAUGAGAAAAGGCUCUGCUAAUCUGUGAGGUGGAGCUCAUAGGAGUGUUGGCGAGACAGUGUUAACUGAUAUUGAUUCAGACUUAGAAGAGGAAGAGAGGAGGCCUGGGACAAAUCACCACAGGAGGAGGAAUGAGAAGGACAGCAUUUGUAAAUUACAUUUAAAUUCCUACUCUGUCUAUGGCUUUGGCUGCUCCCAGGAAAAAUGAUGGGGUGGAGCAGGGAUGGAGGGCAUAAAAAUAUGUUUUAAAGAGAAACUGAGUUCUUAGUAGUAUUGGCACACACACAGAAUACAUACUCCAGAGGCUAAAGAUUUGUUAAAAUAGUAUCAGACAUAUUCUUAAAACCUAUGGAGACCUAUUUAAACAUACAAAAACUAGAAACUAAACUUCCAUCCAUCAUGAAACCGAGAAGUGGCUGCAAUCCUAAACUGCGAAUUGUGAAAAAAUAUGUAUGAAAUAUAGUGAUAUUUGAUCAAAAGAGAAAAUGGAAAGCUGAUACAGCACAGAAUUGCUUUCAUAACGCAUUAUAAUUUUUCUGCAGCAUAAAUAAUUAACUUGGAAAAUUAUCAGGUGGAACAAAAAAAAAAGCGAAAAAGUAAAUAACAACCAGCUUUGAAACUUCUUACCAGAGUUAGCUGAUCUGCAACAAACACUGCUGAUGCUGUUACCACUACAACACACAGACACACAAAUACACACAGCCACAGCUGGCGGAGCUCACUGUGAGCCUAACUCACCUUGCCUGAAACAGGGACGGACACGGAAAGCUGAGGGGAGACGUGUCCUUAGCAAAGGUGGAGAGAAAAUGCUCUGAGACAACAUAUUCAAAAUCUGAAAGUGCCAACUCUUUCAGGUCACUGCCGUGGGUCAGCACGAAUUAUAGACCUAGAUUAGACUACCAUUCUGAGAAGAACAGUAUAAAGAAAUUAUGCAACUUGGAAUUAAUCUAUAUAGUAUGUGGUGUAUUAGUUUUAAUAUUGUAACUACGAGGUAUGAAAGAUAUUGCAUUUUGUUAUUUUCUUUAAAUUAAUUCUGCAUUAACCUGGCACCAAGUUUGCGUAUUGCAAAGCUAGCAGGAUAUUCUAGCUCAUUCUUGGCACUCUAUGAUCAAACCAAGUUCCUGCCCAUCAGGGAGGCCCCUCAUCCUCAGAUCUGAGUUCGUGCUAGUUAAGUAACUAAGACUGAGAUGUUUGUUUUCUUAGCCUUUGUGAUUCCUUAAAGGUUGCCAGUUCUGCCAUUUCCAUAGAUCUUUGGGAACCGAAAAUGGCUAGGCCUUGGGAGUAGCCACUUUUUUUUUUUUUUUUUUUUUUAAAGGCAGAGUCUCGAUCUCCAGGAUGGAGGGCAGUGUCACGAUCUCAGCUCACUGCAACCUCUGCCUCCCGGGUUCAAGUAAUUUAUCUUGUCUCAGCCUC
rnacentral:lncRNA from 10 species